ACUAUCUCUUGGCACACUCAAGAAAAGAAACAAGUGAUGAAAAUUUGUAAAUCAACUUUAUUCAAGGAUGACCAUGUUUAGGCAUCGGCAAUAGUAACUUCAACUUCUACGCCUGGCUCGAUGCUGAUGGAAGUGAUCUGCUUCACGAUCUCCGAAGGGCUGUGAAGGUCGAUGAGCCGCUUAUGGAUACGCAUUUGGAAGCGAUCCCAGGUCUUGGAACCCUCACCACAAGGCGUCUUCCUGGUAGUGAUCCGCAGGGUCUGAAAAGUCAAACACGGGGCAUUGAGCUGAUGCACUGAGAGAGAGGAGUAAUCUACAACCACAUGGAAAGAUCAUCACCUACAAAUACUGGGGGUUGCCCAGAGGAUGGAGCCAGGCUCUUCUCGGUGGUGCCAACCAGUAAGACAGGAGACAACGGGCAGAAACUGAUGCACAGAAGUUCCAUCUGAACACGAAGAACUUUUUUACCGUGCAUGUGACUCAGCACAGGAACAGACUGCCCAGAGCGGCUGUGUAUGGCGUAUCCCCCACAGGAGAUACUCAAGAGCCGUCCGGGCUCAAUCCUGUGCCAUGUGCUCUAGGACGACCCACUGCGCUCCCUUACAACGUGACCUGUUCUGUGGUUCUGUGAAACACUGCACGUCACACUGACCAUGAGGUGCUACCUGCCGCAUUAGGUGACCGCGUUCGCUAACAUGGGCGGCCCAUGAGGGCAGACACUAGGCCGGAUCAGCGCCGCUCACGCCGGGCUGCGGCCGCCUGCACUCCGCCUGCGCUGCCCCGCGGUGCCGGUCCCGAAAGGAACGGCACUGCCGGGCCCCCAGGCCGCCCUCCGUGCCCGCCGGCUCGGGGUGAGCCCUCCGCCCACCGCACGGCCGGGAAGCGCGGAGCUCUCCCGGGGCCGAGGGCCUGCACCGCCCGGGCCGGCGCGGCGCCCACGCGGCGGGGCCGGCGCGGCAGCCCAGCUCCCUCCCCCAUAUCCCUGGCGCUCCCCCGCCUCACCAUGGCGGGAGCGGAGCCUUCCUGACCGACUUAUUCCCGGGCUCGGGCGGCGCGGGGCCCAGCGAACAGCGGUGAGCCAGGAGGCAGCGGCAGCGGCGCGGGAGAGGCGGGCGCGGUGGCGGCGGGCGCUUAUAUAGCGGAGCGGCGCCGCCUCCAUCCGGGCGCCGCGGGACCUUUCACCCGCCCGCCGGGCGCGGAAGCCGUGAGGGCUCCGCUUCCUGCGGGGAUGGAUGGAUGGCGGCCCUGUAGUCCCGGCUCGUGGCGAGCGGAGCGGGAUCUGGGGCUGGCAGCUCCUGUGCCCCCUCCUCGGGCUUGGCCCUUCCCGCUCGGGUCCCGCGGGCAUCUCGAGCUCCCUCUUGCCUUUCCCGGGAGAUUCCGGUGUUCUGCUGGGGGGAGGGCCGGGAGUUGGCGCACAGGCGAGGCUUCAUCGCUUCCAGUGACAGCGAACCCGUACCCGUCUGAGCCUUUGGGUCUUUUCAUCUUCUUUCGCUACUGAAAGCGACAGGACGAGAGGCAACGGUCUUAAGUUGUGCCAGGGGAGGUUUAUGUUGGAAUUUAGUAGGGAUUUAUUUAUUCGCAGAAAGGGUGAUUAGACAUUGGAAGGGGCUGCCCAGGGAGAUGGUGGGCGCUGUUCCUGGAGGUGUUUAAGGAACGGCUGGAUGUGCCAUGGUUUAGCUGGAUGUGGUGGUGUUCGGGCACAGGUUGCACUCGAUGGCCCCAGCGGUCUGGUCCAGCCCAGUGUGAAUCUGUCAAGUGGAGCUGCGAGAGCAGAAUUGAAUGUUUUAAGUAAAAGCGCUCGUUAUAUUCAUGCUUAAAUUUAAAAACUUAAAUGAAUUUUAUUUAUGGAAGGUCCAUUAUCUGUUCAGUUUGGGCAUUGGAGGGAUAUUUCUUACUGAGCGUUGUCGUUGAUUUGGCCUGGACAGUAAUUCUUAGUCCCAAGCCAAGUGUUUUGCUGAAAAUAUGUCUGUUUCAAGUUAGCUCACUGGAGAACCUGAGAAACAUGUAUUGAAAUGAUGGCUUAUAGUAGGGUCACUAUGAGUAUCUUUUAAAAUUAAUUACUAAAUUCUAAUUUAGAGUUAUGUCCAGGAAUCAUAGACAUGUGUAAUGUUAGCAUAACUACUGCACCUGUGGAAGCUUAGUUAUUACUACAGUUAUUCAAGAAAGUUUGCUUGGUAUUUUAAGAUGAGCUUAUUUUCAGCUGUCACACUCUGCUUUAAUGUUUUUAUUUUCCUUGCCAGUUGCUUUAGAUGUCUUCAUUUGGUCCUUAAACCUCAUGUGAUGCAGUUAACUUUUAUAUGCCAACUAUUCCAUUGUUUAGGCUUGUUUACCUAAACUUGGAUUGUUUCUACUCUUUGAAAUCUCUAAUUUACUAAUAUCUUCUUUGAAAGUAUUAGAGGCUGUAUUCUGAUAAAGCAGCUCCAAAAAAUGUGGAUAAAGAAGUUGUCAUCCUGGUGCUGUUUCCUGAAAUGCAGCAAUGUCUUUUGCCAAUGGAGAUCAGUACGUGAAAAAUAUGUUUUGGUGAUACUCAUGUUUCUCUGGUCUCUUGCCAUCUGCAAUGAAAACAUCAUUUUGUUCUGGUGGUUUGUUUUGGAACCAUUUAACAAUUACAUUUAUACUAUUUUUGAACUCAUACCCAUGUUUAUUCUGUUACCAGCUAUUCCAGCUACUUCCUGAGGAAGUUUUCCAUCUAUAAGUGUUUUAAAUUCAUCACUCUUAAAUACAUGACCUCACACUGAUCAUGCUGAAGCACUUAGUUUUCCAGUAAUCCAGAUGGUUCCCAAUCAGCAGCCUUGCUGCACUAUUUACUUAGAGCUUUUAUGAAUGUUCUUAGUAAACUUUAUUUCCAGAUAAAAUACUGAGUACCUUGCUGCCAAGAACUAAUUCCUGUGGGAUUCAAUUAGAAAGACUGAGACAGACCUGUAGCCUUGGUUUUAAUUUGCUUGCUGUGAACUGUAGGUGCACGACUGUGCCAGUUUCUCUGUGUCCUACUGAAAAAGUCCAUGUGCAAAUAUGUUAUAUCAACACUGUUCCUAUUGUCCACCAAACAAAUGCUGUAAUUGCAUGAGAAAAAAAAAUCUGAAAAUAUAUGUUUUCCAUACAUUUAAGCUGUGUAAUUUAAGUACAAUUUGCUCAUUUAUUUCUUAUUCCUAUAUGAAGAAGUUGGUUUGGGUUUGGUUUUUUUUUCCCUGGGAUUAAGGUGAGGUUGAACAUAAGUGCCAAAUUUGUUCCUUUCUUACUUAUUUUCCUAGUAUUGGCAUUACCUCAGCUUUCUUUGAGAUUUUUCCUUUUUUCCUGAGCUUCCCUAAAUUUCUCAGACCUUAUGGAAAAUCCACAUUAACAGCACACAAGUCUCUUUUGCCAGCUCUUAAAAUUCUUGGAUGCAGGCUAUCUGGAGCUGCUGAUUUAAAAACCGCCUCACUUCUGUUCCUAUGUUUAAGGCUUACCAUGGCUAUUGUUGGAAUUUUCUGAUAUAUGUUGUUUUUCUCCACAAAUGUGCAACAGAAAUUUAUCUAUACUUUCUGUUUUCUCUGAAAUACGCUAUCUAUUAAAAAAUGCUCCUUCUUGCCAUUCAUGUGAGUAAAAAGCCAUUUUAAAUACAA